rnacentral:tRNA from 1 species
UGCCGGAUAGUGUAAUGGUAGCACAACUGCCUCUGGAGCAGUUUGUCUAGGUUCGACCCCUAGUCCGGCAGCCA